rnacentral:rRNA from 1 species
UACGGAGGAUGCGAGCGUUAUCCGGAUUUAUUGGGUUUAAAGGGUGCGUAGGCGGCUUUUUAAGUCAGCGGUGAAAUUUUGCAGCUUAACUGUAACAGUGCCGUUGAUACUGGGGAGCUAGGAUUUGGUUGCUGUGGGUGGAAUGUGUGGUGUAGCGGUGAAAUGCUUAGAGAUCACACAGAACUCCGAUUGCGAAGGCAGCUUACUAAGCUACAACUGACACUGAAGCACGAAAGCGUGGGGAUCAAACAGGAUUAGAUA